rnacentral:rRNA from 1 species
UACGUAGGUGGCAAGCGUUGUCCGGAAUUAUUGGGCGUAAAGCGCGCGCAGGCGGCCUCCUAAGUCCGAUGUGAAAGCCCACGGCUCAACCGUGGAGGGUCAUUGGAAACUGGGGGACUUGAGUGCAGGAGAGAAGAGUGGAAUUCCACGUGUAGCGGUGAAAUGCGUAGAGAUGUGGAGGAACACCAGUGGCGAAGGCGGCUAUCUGGACGGUUUCUGACGCUAAGACGCGAAAGCGUGGGGAGCAAACAGG